rnacentral:rRNA from 1 species
CCUACGGGUGGCAGCAGUGAGGAAUAUUGGUCAAUGGACGCAAGUCUGAACCAGCCAUGCCGCGUGCAGGAAGACGGCUCUAUGAGUUGUAAACUGCUUUUGUACGAGGGUAAACUCAGAUACGCGUACCUGUCUGAAAGUAUCUUACGAAUAAGGAUCGGCUAACUACGUGCCAGCAGUCGCGGUAAUACGUGGGGUGCGAGCGUUAAUCGGAUUUACUGGGCGUAAAGGGUGCGCAGGCGGUUUUGCAAGUGGGCGGUGAAAUGCCCCGGCUUAACGUGGGGAAGGCCAAACAUGACUGCAAGACUGGAGUGCGUAAGAGGGGGGUGGAAUGUCAAGUGUAGCAGUGAAAUGCGUAGAUAUUUGGAAGAACACCGAUGGCGAAGGCAGCCCCCUGGGACGCAACUGACGCUCAUACACGAAAGCGUGGGGAGCAAACAGGAUUAGAUACCCGGGUAGUC